AGAGUUUGAUCCUGGCUCAGGACGAACGCUGGCGGUGUGCUUAACACAUGCAAGUCGAACGGUAAGGCCCUUUCGGGGGUACACGAGUGGCGAACGGGUGAGUAACACGUGAGUAACCUGCCCUCAUCUCUGGGAUAACAGUCGGAAACGGUUGCUAAUACUGGAUAUGAGCUUGCAAGGCAUCUUGUGGGUUGGAAAGAUUUUUUUGGUUGGGGAUGGACUCGCGGCCUAUCAGCUUGUUGGUGAGGUAGUGGCUCACCAAGGCUUCGACGGGUAGCCGGCCUGAGAGGGCGACCGGCCACAUUGGGACUGAGAUACGGCCCAAACUCCUACGGGAGGCAGCAGUGGGGAAUAUUGCACAAUGGACGGAAGUCUGAUGCAGCAACGCCGCGUGCGGGAUGACGGCCUUCGGGUUGUAAACCGCUUUCAAUUGUGACGAAGCUUUUUGUGACGGUAGCAGUAGAAGAAGCACCGGCUAACUACGUGCCAGCAGCCGCGGUGAUACGUAGGGUGCGAGCGUUGUCCGGAUUUAUUGGGCGUAAAGAGCUUGUAGGUGGUUUGUCGCGUCGGGAGUGAAAACUCAGGGCUUAACUCUGAGCUUGCUUUCGAUACGGGCUGACUUGAGGGAGGUAGGGGAGAAUGGAAUUCCUGGUGGAGCGGUGGAAUGCGCAGAUAUCAGGAGGAACACCGGUGGCGAAGGCGGUUCUCUGGACCUUUCCUGACGCUGAGAAGCGAAAGCGUGGGGAGCGAACAGGCUUAGAUACCCUGGUAGUCCACGCUGUAAACGGUGGGUACUAGGUGUGGGGGACAUUCCACGUUCUCCGUGCCGUAGCUAACGCAUUAAGUACCCCGCCUGGGGAGUACGGCCGCAAGGCUAAAACUCAAAGGAAUUGACGGGGCCCCGCACAAGCGGCGGAGCAUGCGGAUUAAUUCGAUGCAACGCGAAGAACCUUA
rnacentral:rRNA from 1 species